GGCAGAAGAAGAGUGCGCACGAAGCAGCAGCGCCACAUAACAUCAGAAGCACAGUGUUAGACAGGCAGAAAAGUGUAUCGCACGGCGCACAGCGCACAGCCUAAACUCGUAUCGAAUCGAAUCGUCUCUAAAUGCAACCAACGAGCUGCUGCAUUGCAAGCCAAUAAAACACAAACUAAUUGAAAGCGUAAAGUAAUCGCAAAUUGAAUUUAAAAAGAAAAAAGAGAAAAAAACAUCAAGCUGCCAAGUGAAGCAUAAAAAGCAGUUUGUUAUAUAAAAAAAACACAAAAAAAUUAACACACAACUCGAAGUAAAAUUGCUUGGUGUUAAAGAAACAGAACGAAGCGGGAUAGCAGCAGCACACAGCUGAAGCCGUCUUGCCGUUUCCAUGCUAUUGAAUUGGUGAUUUGAUUCUUCUGCCUAUAGCAGUAAAGAGUUUGCACUAAAGCCAUAGGCCAAAGCAGUGAAGACGUUAACGUAUUUGAAGUUAAUUUUUGUUUUCCUUUCGGUUGGUGCAUAUGCAACGUGAGGUGAAGUGAGCCACAAGCCGGAGGAAAAACGCAGUGAAUACGGUUUUUUCCGUUUAUUUUCUUCCAUUUUUCCGCAUCUAUCUUGCAACUGUCCUUUUCACUGAUAUUUUUCACUGAACUUGGCGGACUCUUCAAAGCUAUCUCUAGCACUUGUCGCGCAUAGAAAAAACAUACUGUGCUCUGGUUACAACAGCAAAAGCAGCAACAACAGCAAUACCUUCUUCAACUUAGGCAACAACUUUUACAACACAGCUGAGUUACUCGAACUUCGCUGUGUCUUUGAUCGUAAACUUUGCAGUUAAUACAAAG